rnacentral:rRNA from 1 species
CCUACGGGAGGCAGCAGUGAGGAAUAUUGGUCAAUGGACGAGAGUCUGAACCAGCCAAGUAGCGUGAAGGAUGACUGCCCUAUGGGGUGUAAACUUCAUGGAUAAAGGAAUAAAACGAGGCACGUGUGCCUUUUUGCAUGUACUUUAUGAAUAAGGAUCGGCUAACUCCGUGCCAGCAGCCGAGGUAAUACGGAGGAGCCGAGUGUUAUCCGGAUUUAUUGGGUUAAAGGGGUGCGUAGGCGGACUGGUAAGUCAGCGGUAAAAGCCCGGGGCUCAACCCCGGCGAGCCGUUGAAACUGGCUGUCUUGAGAUGUCGAGAGGUAUGCGGAAUGCGCAGUGUAGCGGUGACAUGCUUAGCUAUUGCGCAGAACUCCGAUUGCGAAGGCAGCCUACCGGCGGCGAUCUGACGCUGAGGCACGAAAGCGUGGGUAUCGAACAGGCUUAGCUACCCCAGUAGUC